AACGAACGCUGGCGGCAUGCCUAACACAUGCAAGUUGAACGAGACCUUCGGGUCUAGUGGCGCACGGGUGCGUAACGCGUGGGAACCUGCCUUUAGGUUCGGAAUAACUCAGAGAAAUUUGAGCUAAUACCGGAUAAUGUCUUCGGACCAAAGAUUUAUCGCCUUUAGAUGGGCCCGCGUAAGAUUAGCUAGUUGGUGGGGUAAAGGCCUACCAAGGCGACGAUCGUUUAGCUGGUCUGAGAGGAUGAUCAGCCACACUGGGACUGAGACACGGCCCAGACUCCUACGGGAGGCAGCAGUGGGGAAUAUUGGGACAAUGGGCGAAAGCCG
rnacentral:rRNA from 1 species